AAUUCCCGCCCCGAUUUUUGCCCGAUUUUCCCCAUUUUUGGGGUGCGGGGAGUUCGGAGCGGGAGAUUUUGGGGGGAUCCGUGGGGGUUUGAGGAGCUCUCUCAUUAAUUAAUGAAUUCAUUAAUUAAUUAAUUCCUCCUCGCUCAUUCGCUCGCUCAUUUCUCCGCAUUAAUUAAUUAAAUUCUGCGCAUUCAUUCCUCCGCAUUCACUCCUCCACUUUUAAUUUUUUUCUUUAUUUCUGCACUUUUUCUCUUUUUUUUCCGCUUUUUUCAUUCCUCCGCUUUUUCAUUCCUGAACUUUUUAAUUCCUGAACUUUUUGCACUUUUUAAUUCCUGAACUUUUGCCACUUUCCCACUUUUCAAUUCCUGAACUUUUCUCACUUUUUCACUUUUUUAAUUCCUGUUUUUCGACGAUAAAUAGGACAAAAAUGAGGAAGGAAAGGGAUGAGAGGGGGCGACAAAA
rnacentral:lncRNA from 1 species